rnacentral:lncRNA from 1 species
AAUAGAAAUAAUUAUUAAUAAUUAAUUAUUCUAUUAGGGUAGAAUCAAAAGAGCUUGAGCCAUUGAAAGGAGUUUCGAUGAUGAUGUAGAUAGGGAUCGCAUCAUAUCUCACUACCAGAUAGAAUUGAACCUAUUAGGUCACACACAUAAGAAAUCGCGCAUGAUCGAUAUUUAGGAGACGAUAAAAGAAGUUUAUCGGAUGGAUUAAUUGCAAUUAUAAUAUAGUUAAAUACUAAAGUUUACUAAUUUAUUAGUAAAAGGACUAAUUUGCAAUUGUUGUAAAUUAGAGAUAUUUAUGUGUAAAAGUUGCAUGGUGUAUUUAUGAUCGUUAGUAAAUAAUAUAAGGACUUAUGUGUAAAUGUUAUACACGAAUCGAAUUAGAAUUAGGAUUCAGAUUCGGUUAAUAUCAUAACCAACUUGUGGGUUAAUGGAUAAUCCAAU